AGAAAAACCCACCCCCGAAUCGAGCGACUGCGUCUCCCACCCCAUCUGAAUCCGCUGCCUCGCCGCCGCCGGCCCGCAUCCUCCACAGCGCCGUGCUGCCGUCCUCCCCGCACCCCGGCCUGCCUCCUCUCCGCCGCGCCCUCCUCCCCGCUCCGUGCUGCCGUCCUCCCCGCACCCCGGCCUGCUUCCUCUCCGCCGCGCUUCGGGCCUGCACCGGCGGGCUCGAGCACGCGCCGCCGACCGUGACGGGCUGCUCAACACGCUCCGCGCCGCCACGGUAAACGGCCGGGAGGAGGAGGAGGACGCGCAGGAGGCAGGGCGGUGUCAGAAUCGCGCGCGUUGGAUCCGGCCGAUGGUUACGGCGACACGGACGCGGAUGCUCUGGCCGCGGCCGCCGCGCUCUAUGCCCCGCCCCUGCUUGCCGAACCCUGCCUCUCCGGAUCUCCAGCCAUGUAUGCUGCUGGGGACCUUGCAGGUCCAUGCUCGUCGGCGAGGGGGAGCGCAGACAGCAGCCUAGCCCGUCACCGUCAGUAACAUGGCAGUAGGCCUCUUCUCCCCUUCUCAGUUUACAGCAGCAUGCCACACUCUCAGGCUCCUGUCCCCCGUCGUUAGCACACCGAUUCAGAGGCAGAGGCUGACUUGCAGCUCGUGGACACAGAGGAGGAAGCCUAAGAUCAAUCUCAAAAGUUGUUAUCAUUGUUCUCAGCCAGCGAUGCAUAGGGGAAUUGUUUGCUCAUCUAUGUGUUAAAAUCUGGACCUCUUCAUCAACGACUUCAAUAAGGAUGAGAUCAAGCUGCGUCUGCUGCUCUGUCCACCACAACAAUUUUGGAAUGCAUUAACUUUUAUCUGCCCAGGUUGAAUCCUUCAUUCCUCAUUCUCAUCCUAAUUUCUUGAUGUUGGGCAAGACACUCCAGAUGAGUUGCUAACAUCAAAGGGCUUCAGUUCUAACUAGAAGAAAUUUUGCUUAGGAAUAUUUUAUCAGUUUUGUGGUCAAUUAAUCAACUGGUGUUACAAUAAAAGCAAGAAAGUGAUGCAAGUUCUUUGGGAUAUAUGCACUGGAAAAUAUAUGAACACUGUUGGCCCAAAAUCACAGGGCCCCACUAAAUUGUUGGCCAUUUGGCCUCAUGAUUUUAAUGAUAAUUGUUCUACCAUGAAUUUUGUCUUCCGCUAGCAUUUCAACAGUACUGUGUGCUGUAGCAGUAUACAUCUGAAAGAGUUUCCUCCUAUGCCAUGGAUCCGGUGUAGCGCUCCAGUGAGAAAUAAUCAAUGGUGUACUUAUCCCCUUUACAUGUUCUUUAUUUACAUUUUUUACAUUGAAUUCUAAGCUAAGUGCUUAGUCUUUUGUUACUUGCAGCCUUGCAGGCAGGAACAUGAGCAUUCAUAUCUGGGGGUUCCGAAGAAGGCGUUGACCCCAUUAUAUAUAUUGCUGCUCUCUGCCAGAAACCAAACAAAUAACACUUCUAUGAUGCUGCUCACUGAUUGAUACUAAAUACGAGUAUAUGGCUUGUUCUCGAGGAUAGUUAUCACUUUUUGAUUCAUAUGGAAUUUGAGGAUAUGGAUGACACUGGUUUGUUUCUUUCACUACUAAAAUUCUGUCCACCAUUAGCUUACGGGCAAUGCUCCAGAUCCACGCGAACAUGCCCGAGUAAAUGCUCUUUAUGAUUCCAUGUUCUUAUGUAAUAAGACUUGAUGUGUUUUAUCUUCCAAUAAUUCAGACACGGGCCUUCCACAACUUGAUACAAGCUGCUGACAAUAGUUAGAGGGUUAGGUUUGAUAUUAUUAUUUGUUGUAUGACUAUUUGUUCUCAUUAUGGCACACCUUAUUUAUCUUUUAUUCAGUUACAUAGCUUGCCUGUAUUACUUGAAACAUAAUUAUACUGUGUACAUUUAGUGGAUACUAUUGUUGAGUAAAAACGAAAUUCGAACUUCAAAUUACAUACUGGAUUUAGAUUGUUUCCUUAGAAACCAAGAGUUCUUUUUUUUAUGAAACUGCCAGAUUGGCUUUUCAUUCAUAGAGUGGCCAGUGAGGGGAGCACCAUCACGGGAGCCGUGUUAAUAGAAGGCAACGUCGAGAAGAUGUCGACAACCUCCGUGGAUGAGCGGUGGUUGUGAGAGUUUGUCAAGGAAGGCCUACUCGAUCAUGGAGUGGCUAUCGCUGCAAAAGGCAACGCUAGCAACAGAGACAGCCAUCCAUUUGUGCCACCAUCAAUAACAACGUUGUAACAAGCAUGGCUCUGCACUGGUUGCUGAAGCAGUAGAGUGGCUUAUGUCAUGUAGGCAACUGGUGGCUACAAGGAUCCGUACGUAAACAUGGUAUGUGAAAUUUGUGCUACACAGGAAUGGAAAUGCCAAUUUACAAAAUAUAAUAUGCAUGUUUGGUUGAUGAUUACUUGGGGUAGCCGAAUAGAACUUGGAACCAGUAUAACUUAAGUGUGGCUAUGAAAAUUUUAGAUGGAGUUGGUGGUUUGGUACCUAUUGGAGUAACAAAUUCCAGUUACCCAGUAGAAAGCAAGGUGAAUCGGAAAUCAAUUAUUAAAUCUGCUUUAUAGGCUUUGCUAAAGAGAGAAACUGAGAGCUACUAAUAUCCUGGUUUCAUUAAAGCUUAUUAGCGUCUUGAAUCCCUGUAAAGCAGCAUUGUGCAUUGCUAUUGGAUGACGCUGUGGGUUAUGGGCGUAGAGUGGAGGUUGCAUCACAUGCUCAACGUUGUGUCAAAGGACUUGCAUGGGCCACAGGGAUGUUGUGGUGUUCAUAGUGGGCAACGUUCGUUUUCAUGUAAGUUAUGGUCGAUGUAAGAUAGGUAGUGGAUGGGCAUGUCAUAAGUUUUUUCUCCCGUUGCAACCCACGGGCAUAUUUCCUAGUUUUACUAUUAAACAAGAGAACAUCUCUAGGAGCGAACGAAAACUCUGCCAUCCACGAUCGGCACGAAAAGGGGAGCCAACGUGUCCCGUAAAAAAAAAGGAAAGCCCACGUCUGCCAUCGGGAAAAAAAAAAGAAAAGGAGAGGCCACGUUUUGUCCUGCCUCGCCUCCAUCGUUCCCCACUCCCCUCCCACCCUUCCCUCUCCUCCUCGCCGCCGCCACAGGACACCGCCGGGGUCCCUCUCCUCCCUCCAGCAGCGGCGGCGGCACGAGACACAGCGGACUCGGCCUUCGUUGGCGGCAGGGUUCCUCUCCUCUGUCGAGCAGCGCGAUCGGUCUGCGUCGGCGGGGACGGGUCCCUCUCCUCCGACCCGUCCGCUCCGCACGAGCGAGGGGCUGGGCACUGGCGGCUUCCUCACGUGACGGGUCGCCGGUGUUGCGCCGGUCACGGGCAGCGGCGGGGCAGCCGAUGGCUGCUGGUCAAACCGACCGGGACAGCGGCGCAUCUUUGCGAGAGGGGGAGAGGGGAGAAGAAGGAGAGGCCUGUCGGCGGUUGAGGAGGUGCUGCGCGCCGCAAUCUCUUCCUCGACGCGCCGCCAGAUCUCCACCUCGACGCUCUGCUGGUCCUCUGCAUCCACAUGCCGCCGGAACUCCGCCUCGAACUUCAGUUUUUGUGGUAUGGAUCCCUUCCCCUCUCCACCAAAUCUUACUCUGUGCACUGCCUGCCGCCUCUCAAGCAACACGUACCAUUGCCCUGCUUGGUGUGUUGUGCUCACAUGCUCCUUUGUCGCACUGCGCCGUCCCCUUCGCCUCUCCGGCCCAAUCGCAGUCGCAGGUGUUCUCCGACCAGUUCAUCAGGAACCACCGAAGGACGCACGCGAGCAACAUUUGGCAUUGAGAGCCUCGCUGGUUUGACGCUUGCACACAAGCGACGGAUCAAAGGAGCCUGCGAACUAUGUAACUGAAUGUUGUUUCUUUCCGCCAAUCAUCUAUUCUCAAUUUCCUCAAAUCAUCUUCUGAUAAAUGAUCCUCUGAUAUUGAUAUCAAAGAGAAACAUGUUUUACAGUCUUUUAGAUUUCGGUCAUCAGAGGGAAUUUGGAUUCUUUUUCUGUCACCACACAAAGAAUUGUAUGUCAGUGCCAAUUGAAAAGGUGAAGGAGAAUUGAGUUUUGUUUUAUCUGUACUGCAUUAUCUGUCUACGGGGGGCAAUCAUGGAGAAGCAAAGUUUAACUGAGAUUUCAAAAUUUUGUGGCCUUGGUAAAAAAAAGGUGCUUCUACUUCUUGAAACUCCGGACUGCUCAUGUACUAUUUCACAUUGCCAUCUUUGUUACUCAUUGCUUACUUGACAGAUAUACAAAAGAUGGAAAGCGAACACUGCCCAUCACAUAUUAAUAAUGUCAUCUCCAGAGUAAAGUCAUGCAAACUUUCUGGACUGUUGUGCUAAUCAAACCUUAUUUGAUGAAUUUCGUAGGAAGUAUUCAGUUAUGGAUCCAUUCUAUGGGUGGAAUUAUAGACUCCUUGUGUGUGUGUAUGUUUAUUCUUGCUUGAAUCUGGUGCUGAAGGUGUGAACAGGUGAGUCCUGCUUGCAAGUUUGUCUAAAGAAUGGUGGUCUUUGAUGUAUUAGCCCUUCCAUGUUAGCUUGUUUCCUUUUCUUUUUUUGGGGGUUUACACGGGUAUGUCCAUGUUUGCCUCAAGGGCUGAGUGACUGAGUUUCGUGAGCAUGUGCACACGGGUGUAGAAGGUCUUAGCUUUCAGAUAAACACUAAUUGCUAUCUUUACAUGGUGAAAAUGUGCAGGAAGACGAUCCCGUUGGAGGAGAUCCUGACCAUCAUUGAAAGAUUAGCUUGUUUGUUUCUACAAAAGUUGGGUAAAGCAACUACCAAACUAUGAAUGGAAUAAGUCUAAAAAGAAAGCUAUUCCAAUACAGGAUGAGAAGAGCCUCAAGUUCGUUGGCGACCAUGUUCGUUAAUAUUUUUGUUAGAAUCCUUCAUUCUAAGCUUGCAUUAUAAUAAAAUUUGGCACAAAGAUAUGAUUUCAAUCAUGUGUCUGUUGUAGCCAAGGCCAUACAUCCCCUCCUACCCUGAGUAAAUUUGAAGCUCCAUAUUUUAAUUUUGAACCCUAAAAUGUUGUACUCACUUGGCAAUCCCAGAUCUGUUCUGGACUCUUGGUAUUCAAUCUAAAUUAUAACCAGGCAUGACGCUCAAUAUUGUAGCAAUGAACAUCAGGGUGUGUACUAAGUUCCAACUAAGAAAGUUCAGUUUGGCUAUUUCCUUUUUUACACAGACCAGACUAAGUAGCUGCAAAAGUGUUCUAUCCUUUUGAGUUUUUGUGUAAGAGAAGGUACCAUCAAGCAUCAACUAUCUCGCAUAAUAUGAAAUGGAUAGCUUCAAACAUGCAGGGGUUGGUGAAGCACAAACAAGCGACAAAGGGCUUGGAGUAGACACCCAGCUCCAUGGUUCCAUUAUGCAAGAUGUGGCUUGGAUUGCCGUGCUGCUGAAAACAACCAACGGUGGCUCCGCUUGGUUUUGAAAUUGGGAGGGUUUAAUUUAAGAUUUUAUAUUUUCCCCUGUUUUUGUAUGGACAAUGUGUGUGCCGUCCAUAAAAUGUUUAGUUAUGUUUGGCAGAUGAGUACAAACUCUUUUUUCACUCCACGUUUACCAUGAAGAAUGAAACACACAUCAGUUGGCUCACUUCAGUUCCUGUGCUAAGUGAUAAUCCAUGCAGUCUCUUAUUCUGAAUGUUAUACACUUUUGUUC